rnacentral:lncRNA from 1 species
AGCCUUUGUGUUGAGAUACAUGGAGCAAAGGGUGGUAUCCUGCACCCUGUGUCAUCCACCCAACAUCUGGGUGUACAGCAAAUUGGAGCAGAUAGUUUCCAAAUGAAAUCUGAGCUGAUGCCAGCUGCCUGCAAACUGGACCUGAUUUAAAAAUAAAAUCUCCCUGCCUGCAAGUCA